AUUGUUGAAUAAAAAAUAUUACAUGGAUAUCCCAGAAUUUUCUGUCCAUUUACUGGUGAUAAAAAUUGGAGUUGUUUCCAAAUAAAGUUGAUAUGAAUAUGUACGUACAAGUGUUUGAAUAGACAUAUAUUUUCAUUUAUCUUAGGUAAAUGUAUAGGAGUGGAGUGGCUAGAACAUAUAAUAGCUACAUGUUUAACUUUUUAAGAUACCAACAAACCGUUGCUGAAAGUGGUUCUACCAUUUUACAUUACCUGUCAGAAUUGUAAAAGUUUCAGUCUCUCCACAUCCUUGUUAACACUUAUUAUGAUAAGCCUUUUUCACUUUAAGCACUACUGUGAUGUCCAGUGGUAUAUCAUUGUGGUUUCAAUUUUACAUUUCUUUGAUGAAAACAAUUUGAACACAUUUUUAUGUUUUAAUAUAUUAUGCAUAUCUUUUAUUUUUGGAAAUAUAUGUUCAAAUUGUUUGCCCAAAUUGUUAUGGGGUUGCCUCGUUUCUUAGCAGUGAAUUUUGACAGUGUUUUAAGUAUUCUGAACAUGAAUCUUUUAUCAAAUAUAUAAUUUGCAAUUAUUUUCUCUUAAUCCGUAGAUUUUUUUUCAUUUCCAUCAGUGUCUUUCAAAAAGCAAAAAUGUUGGCCAGGCACGGUGGCUCAUGCCUGUAAUUCCAGCACUUUGGGAGGCCGAGGUUGGCGGAUCACGAGGGCAGGAGAUCCAGACCAUCCUGGCCAACAUGGUGAAACCCCGCCUCUACUAAAAAUACAAAAAUUAGCUGGGCGUGGUGGUGGGUGCCUGUAAUCCCAGCUACUCAGGAGGCUGAGGCAGGAGAAUUUCUUGAACCAGAUAGUCAGAGGUUGCUGUGAGCCGAGAUCAUGCCACUAUACUCCAGCCUGGUGACAGAGUGAGACUCUGUCUCCCAUGUGCAUGAGAAGCUGUUAUGUAAUAUCCGUAACUGGUUUGAAAAUCACUUGCCCAUUCAAUUCAGUUUGUCUUUACAAGCAGUUGCUCGGAGAGGUAGAUCAGUAGCCCUUUCUCAAGGAAGGGCCUGUGCUAUGAUUUCAGUGAGCUCUGUCUGAACAUGAUGUGAUCCAGUGGCUACAGGUUUGAACAACAGAGUCUUCCCCUAUCUCCUGCAAUAAAGUACAUAACAAAGAGAAGCUGAGUUAAAAUUGUUGGGGUUUAGCAUAUAUGACAAAAAAAAAAAAAGAAAUCAAUAGAAAUCUAUUCAUAAGGUAAAGUUUGGGGUGAAGACAGGUGGUUGGUGAAUAUAUAGAACAGCAACUACUUUGGGCGGUCUUGAUGCCAGGUCAAUGCCAAAGUCUACCUAUUGGUCUGAAUAAAUAUUUGCCCAUACUCACAGGCUUGGUCAGGAUUUGUGUAGAAAGUGCACAGCAGAACUGAGCCUAUGCAUUCAAAGUCCUGAGUACCCCUACAAAGGAAGAGGACACAAAUGAAAAAUAUUCCCUCAUACCAAGGAUUGUCCUGAAAUCCAAGACCAUAUUUUAUGAGAAGACAUACAUCAGAGAGAGAGAGAUUACAGUAUGCAAUCUCUCAGCUGCCAACAGAACACAGAUGGGCUUGGGAACAGAGAAUGAUCCAGAUCUGCAGGACUGGAGCAAUCCGUGGGAAGUUUGGACAGAAGAUCUGAUGCAUAAGACAGUAAAGGACUAUUGAAUGUUCCAUGAUAGAUAUGCUUGUUCUUUUGCCUGCAUGCCCUUGAAUAAAGACAUUUUGAUCUCCAGGACCAACCUGAGAAACAUAUAAUUUAAUCUAGUUUUGAAAGAAGAGCCCUGCUACACAAAUACUGGCUCACAAUGUUAAGAGAUAUCAACUGAAAUAUCAAAGGGCUUUCAUAUUUCAUUAAAUUGACUAUCCUAUGUGUUUGAUAUUUCCAUUUAAUUGAAUAUUUCUUAACUCAAUGAAAAAUGUAUGAGCCUGCUGUGAUAAAUUCGGUGUCGCAUAUGG
rnacentral:lncRNA from 10 species